UACUCGAGUGGCUAACGGGUGAGUAACACGUGGGUGAUCUGCCCUGCACUUCGGGAUAAGCCUGGGAAACUGGGUCUAAUACCGGAUAGGAGCCAUUUUUAGUGUGAUGGUUGGAAAGUUUUUUCGGUGUAGGAUGAGCUCGCGGCCUAUCAGCUUGUUGGUGGGGUAAUGGCCUACCAAGGCGGCGACGGGUAGCCGGCCUGAGAGGGUGGACGGCCACAUUGGGACUGAGAUAUGGCCCAG
rnacentral:rRNA from 1 species